ACAUUGAUAGAUUAAAAGUUUUAACAUGAUAGCACCUUUAGGGCAACAUAUUAACAUGGUAGAGAUUAUUUACCUAGCAACCAGAUGCAUGGCAUGAAAGUAGACAACACAUAGAACACAUCUCAUGAAGGAGCCAGAUGCAAAAGACAUACGGAUUAGAUGCAAUCAUCCACCAAAGUUUGCAAAUUUUAACAUUUUUCAUCAGUUAUGAU
rnacentral:lncRNA from 1 species